rnacentral:rRNA from 1 species
AAUCAACGCUGGCGGCGUGCCUAACACAUGCAAGUCGAACGCGAAAGUCCCGCAAGGGAUCAGUAGAGUGGCAAACGGGUGAGUAACACGUGGGUGACCUGCCUUCGAGCGGGGGAUAACGUCCCGAAAGGGACGCUAAUACCGCAUAACAUCCUGCCUUUGAAGAGGUGGAGAUCAAAGCUGGGGAUCGCAAGACCCGGCACUUGAAGAGGGGCCCGCGCCUGAUUAGCAGUUGGUGAGGUAACGGCUCACCAAGGCAACGAUCAGUAUCCGGCCUGAGAGGGCGGACGGACACACUGGGACUGAGACACGGCCCAGACUCCUACGGGAGGCAGCAGUGGGGAAUUGUUCGCAAUGGGCGCAAGCCUGACGACGCAACGCCGCGUGGAGGAUGAAGAUUUUCGGAUCGUAAACUCCUGUCGAAUGGGAACGAAAAG